UUGCAGUCACCGUGUCGCUCCCCGCCAGUCAACACCGCAACUCGACGACCCGUGAAGCCGCUCCGCCUGUAGAUCCGAGCCCACCGCAACACCGUGACCAGAUUCCCCGAGUUGCAGUCCCAUUCGCUGCCGUGCCGUCGGAGCCGAGCACCUGCACCCGCGAUGCCGGCUGAGAUCUCGCCUGCCGCUGCUCCUCGCGACGCCACUGCUCGCCGCCGAUCCGCUCGCUGCUGGUCCUCAUCGUCGGAGCUCCGACGAUUAACUCCUGGUGGACCUCCUCGAAGACCCACGGUUCCACGUGGGAAAGGAAAGAAGAAAAAACAAAAAAAAAAAAGGAAAAGGGAUUUAGGUAGAUUUUUUAUUUUAUUAUUAUUGCUUAUCUAGUUAUAGUUUUUUUUAUUUAUUUUCCUUUAUAUCUGGUUUUG
rnacentral:lncRNA from 1 species